GAUAGUUUGAUCAUGGCUCAGGACGAACGCUGGCGGCGUGCUUAACACAUGCAAGUCACGGGGGCCCGCAAGGGUAACCGGCGAACGAGUGCGUAACACGUGAGCAAUCUGCCGUGCACUGGGGGAUAGCCGGCCCAACGGCCGGGUAAUACCGCAUACGCUUGCCGGGUGGCAUCACUUGGCAAGGAAACCUCCGGGGGUGGACGAGGAGCUCGCGGCCUAUCAGCUAGUUGGUGGGGUCACGGCCCACCAAGGCGAUGACGGGUAGCUGGUCUGAGAGGAUGGCCAGCCACAUUGGGACUGAGAUACGGCCCAGACUCCUACGGGAGGCAGCAGUGGGGAAUAUUGCGCAAUGGCCGCAAGGCUGACGCAGCGACGCCGCGUGGGGGAUGAAGCAUUUCGGUGUGUAAACCCCUGUUGCCCGGGACGAACCUCCCCUUUCGAGGGGACUGACGGUACCGGGUGAGGAAGCACCGGUUAACUCCGUGCCAGCAGCCGCGGUAAUACGGAGGGUGCGAGCGUUGUCCGGAAUCACUGGGCGUAAAGGGCGCGUAGGCGGUGACUUAAGCGUGUGGUGAAAGCCCGGGGCUCAACCCCGGGUCGGCCGUGCGAACUGGGUCACUCGAGCACUGUAGAGGCAGGUGGAAUUCCGGGUGUAGCGGUGGAAUGCGUAGAGAUCCGGAAGAACACCAGUGGCGAAGGCGGCCUGCUGGGCAGUAGCUGACGCUGAGGCGCGACAGCGUGGGGAGCAAACAGGAUUAGAUACCCUGGUAGUCCACGCCGUAAACGCUGUUACUAGGUGCUUGGGGGAACGACCCCCCGAGUGCCGGCGCUAACGCAUUAAGUGCCCGC
rnacentral:rRNA from 1 species